rnacentral:tRNA from 1 species
GGAGCAUUGGCCGAGAGGUAAGGCACCGACCUGCUAAGUCGGGACUGCGAAAGCGGUUGGUCGGAUCGAUACCGACAUGCUCCGCCA